rnacentral:rRNA from 1 species
UACGUAGGUGGCAAGCGUUGUCCGGAAUUAUUGGGCGUAAAGAGCUCGUAGGCGGUCUGUCGCGUCGGCUGUGAAAUCCCGGAGCUCAACUCCGGGUCUGCAGUCGAUACGGGCAGACUGGAGUUCGGCAGGGGAGACUGGAAUUCCUGGUGUAGCGGUGAAAUGCGCAGAUAUCAGGAGGAACACCGGUGGCGAAGGCGGGUCUCUGGGCCUGUACUGACGCUGAGGAGCGAAAGCGUGGGGAGCGAACAGG